rnacentral:rRNA from 1 species
CCUACGGGAGGCAGCAGUGAGGAAUAUUGGUCAAUGGGCGCGAGCCUGAACCAGCCAAGUAGCGUGAAGGAUGACUGCCCUACGGGUUGUAAACUUCUUUUAUACAGGAAUAAACUGAGACACGUGUACCUUUCUGUAUGUACUUUAUGAAUAAGGAUCGGCUAACUCCGUGCCAGCAGCCGCGGUAAUACGGAGGAUUCGAGCGUUAUCCGGAUUGAUUGGGUUUAAAGGGUGCGUAGAUGGGGUGUUAAGUCAGUGGUGAAAGUUUGCGGCUAAACCGUAAAAUUGCAAUUGAUACUGGCAGCCUUGAGUGCAGUUGAGGUAGGCGGAAUGCGUGGUGUAGCGGUGAAAUGCUUAGAGAUCACGAAGAACUCCGAUUGCGAAGGCAGCUUACUAAGCUGCCACUGACAUUGAGGCUCGAAAGUGUGGGUAGCAAACAGGAUUAGAUACCCGAGUAGUC